rnacentral:ribozyme from 13 species
CUUGAAAAGAAGAAUAAAAAUAAAAGGAAAAAGAAAAUAUUGGAGAGAUUGGAAUCAAGCUAUGCCAUCAAGCUAUGCCGUGCACUGGCUCUCUUUCCUUCAUCUCUCUCUUUUUCCAUUUC